CUACGGGUCGCUCCAGUGAGGAAUAUUGGUCAAUGGGCGCGAGCCUGAACCAGCCAUCCCGCGUGCAGGAUGACGGCCCUAUGGGUUGUAAACUGCUUUUCUAUGCCAAGAAACCCUGUUACGAGUAACAGGUUGCCGGUAGCAUAGGAAUAAGCAUCGGCUAACUCCGUGCCAGCAGCCGCGGUAAUACGGAGGAUGCAAGCGUUAUCCGGAUUCAUUGGGUUUAAAGGGUGCGCAGGUGGGCUUGUAAGUCAGUGGUGAAAUGCGGCCGCUUAACGGUAGAACUGCCAUUGAUACUGCGAGUCUUGAGUAUGGUUGAGGUAGGCGGAAUGUGUUGUGUAGCGGUGAAAUGCAUAGAUAUGACACAGAACGCCAAUUGCGAAGGCAGCUUACUAAGCCAUUACUGACGCUGAGGCACGAAAGCGUGGGGAGCGAACAGGAUUAGAUACCCCUGUAGUC
rnacentral:rRNA from 1 species